GAUACGCACAGUAAUACAAGUGCUAUCAGCCGCCAUACAUUAACCUCUCCACUGCAGAGCCUCGCCUUCCAGUCGGUAACUUGGUUCAUAUUCAGCGGUAUUACCAACAUUAGACUUAAAGUUCCAUUUAACGUUUAUUUUGGGGGUUUUUUAACCAUUCGUUGUCUGCGAGCGCACAGGAAUCGCAUGAUGGUAGAGAUAAACUCUCUUCCCAGACUAGUCUUAUCAUGGAGAAAGCAACACACACGGUUACCGGGAGAUGUGGAUGGAAUCCGGACCGAUCUACUUAAACUGAAUGCAACAGGAGUGGUGCCAAGCUCACUUUUGGGGAAGGAACAACACUGUUCGUUGAACCGAAGGAGAAAGCUGAACGAGAGCCAACAUUGUCAAUCUACUACCCGCCAGUGGGCCAGAGUAAACAAACUAACCAAGCGGCAACGGUGUGUCUUCUCGCGCCGUUUUACCCCAACAAAGUCACUGUCAACAUCACUCUGACGGAAACAACCGAGGUCAAGACUGGAAACGUGCUAACCCAAGAUGGCUAUUACAGAACUUCCGGUUUUCGCGAGUUCCCGCACGCCCCUCCGCCAAAAACCAUCGGGUGUUCUGCCACGUACGGUGGUCGACUUAUCGAAAGGACAGAAAACAUAAGCGCACUUGAUAAGCCCCAGCCAUUGAUCUGCGAAACAGGAACGAGCAGCAACUAUACUGUAACAGAUAUACCCGAGACCAAUUUUAUGACGUUGACGGUGAUGGGUUUGAGGAUUCUGUUUGUUAAGAGCGUUGUCUUCAAUGUCUUGAUGACGGCCAGGGCCUGGGUCUUCUAAGGCUCCAGUCAUCGCGCGAGUGCCUCUUCCCCGAAGAAGUCUUCGCUCCGCCAGAGUGGAUUCGUGGCGUCAACAGAAACAAUUGGGGAAUCGGUUCCGGAGACCUCACAUCCGGCACCAAAGACGCGCCUUCGCUUAACGCAAAACAGAAGAUUUUAAACCGAAGCUUCAAUAGUUUGGAACGCGGCUAACUUUUAUCCACUGGGUAAUGUUGUAUCCAGUGUCCGUUUAGUUUAUUGCCACGUGUACCGAGGUACAGUGAAAAGCUUUUGUUGCGUGCUAUCCAGUCAGCAGAAAGACGACACAUGAUUACAAUCGAGCCAUUUUAGUUAUUCAAGUUCUUGUGUUGCAGUUGUCUAAUAUCUUAUACCCGGCAAAUUAAUUAGAUGCGUCAUAGCUGAACGUACAUAAUGUCCGGAUUCAUCUUGUAGUGCUUAGACCGGUGGAAAUCGUGUUUUAAAUCGCUUAUCACAUUCACGCGAUACAUGUGUGGAGUUUAUAUAUCCUGCUUGGAAAUAAUGUUACUGCUAUAAAAAAAGUCAUUAAAUCAGCUGUCCUCACACUUUCUUUAGUUUAGCUGAAAUAUAUAGUCUGGAAACAGGCCCUUCGGCCCACCCUGUCCAUGCCGACCAACAAACACCCCGAUGCCAGUUUUAUUAUGUAGUCAAAGGCCAAUUUACAGAAGCCAAUUAACCGUCAAGCCCGCACGUCUGUGGACUGUGGGAGGAAACCGGAGCACCCGGAGAAAACCCACGCGGGUCACAGGGUGAAAGCUCAAUGUCCGACCAGACAGCACCCGUAGCCAGGAUCGAACUUGGGUCACUGGCGUUGUAAGACAGCACUGUGCCGCCCAGCGCAGUGUUAGAAACAUAAAAUAUAGGUCAUGGAGUAGGCCAUUUGGCCCUUCGAGCCUGCACCGCCAUACAAUAUGAUCGUGGCUGAUCAUCCAACUCAGUAUCCUGUACCUGCCUUCUCUCCAUACCCCCUGAUACCUUUAGCCACAAUGGCCACAUCUAACUCCCUCCUAAAUAUAGCCAAUGAACUGGCCUCAACUACCUUCUGUGGCAGAGAAUUCCACAGAUUCACCACACUCUGAGUGAAAAAUGUUUUUAUCAUCUCGGUCCUAAAAGAUUUCCCCCUUAUCUUUAAACUGUGACCCCUUGUUCUGAAUUCCCCAACAUCUACCCACCCCGAUACAUAUCGUUCCAUUCCCUGCAUAUUCAUAUACCUAUCUAAUCUGCUCUUCUGCACAGAAGGCGGGCAAUUGGGGUCCCUGUACCAGCGCCAUAUUCCCUCCCUGCCUGUCAUGUCACCUCCAAUGCAAGACGGCACUUGAUGCCAAACAAAGAUUUUAACAUUUAAUUAUAGAGGCGUCGCUCACGACGUGAAUUUUGCGAGUUACUCUGCCAGCUUUUUAUUACAAACGUGAAUUUAACCAAUAUUAAUGUUUGCCGAGCUGCAAAUCAUUGAUGUAUUCAGUGCAUUGCGCGGAUAGAGUGUGUGUGCUACCUUGGGUUACAAGUGAAGAUUGAGAACCUUGUAUUGAGCAAAGGCUGUCGCUGUUACUGUUUUAAAUUCAAUUAUCAAUAA